UACAGAGGUCCCGAGCGUUGUUCGGAUUCAUUGGGCGUAAAGGGUGCGUAGGCGGCGGGGCAAGUCUGAUGUGAAAUCCCGGGGCUCAACCCCGGAACUGCAUUGGAUACUGCUUUGCUUGAGUACUGGAGAGGGAACUGGAAUUUACGGUGUAGCAGUGAAAUGCGUAGAGAUCGUAAGGAAGGCCAGUGGCGAAGGCGAGUUCCUGGACAGUGACUGACGCUGAGGCACGAAGGCCAGGGGAGCAAACGGG
rnacentral:rRNA from 1 species